GACGAACGCUGGCGGCGUGCCUAAUACAUGCAAGUAGAACGCUGAAGAGAGGAGCUUACUCUUCUUGGAUGAGUUGCGAACGGGUGAGUAACGCGUAGGUAACCUGCCUUGUAGCGGGGGAUAACUAUUGGAAACGAUAGCUAAUACCGCAUAACAAUGGAUGACACAUGUCUUUUAUUUGAAAGGGGCAAUUGCUCCACUACAAGAUGGACCUGCGUUGUAUUAGCUAGUAGGUGAGGUAAUGGCUCACCUAGGCGACGAUACAUAGCCGACCUGAGAGGGUGAUCGGCCACAAUGGGACUGAGACACGGCCCAGAAUCCUACGGGAGGCAGCAGUAGGGAAUCUUCGGCAAUGGGGGCAACCCUGAACGAGCAACGCCGCGGGAGUGAAGAAGGUUUUCGGAUCGUAAAGCUCUGUUGUAAGUCAAGAACGGGUGUGAGAGUGGAAAGUUCACACUGUGACGGUAGCUUACCAGAAAGGGACGGCUAACUACGUG
rnacentral:rRNA from 1 species